CCUACGGGUGGCAGCAGUGAGGAAUGUUGGUCAAUGGCCGAGAGGCUGAACCAGCCAAGUCGCGUGAGGGAUGACGGCCCUACGGGUUGUAAACCUCUUUUGUCGGGGAGCAAAGAGAGUCACGUGUGGCUCAUUGAGAGUACCCGAAGAAAAAGCAUCGGCUAACUCCGUGCCAGCAGCCGCGGUAAUACGGAGGAUGCGAGCGUUAUCCGGAUUUAUUGGGUUUAAAGGGUGCGCAGGCGGCGGUGAAAGUCAGUGGUCAAAUUGCGGGGCUCAACCCCGUACUGCCGUUGAAACUGCAGGCCUUGAGUGCGUGAGAGGUAUGCGGAAUGCGUGGUGUAGCGGUGAAAUGCAUAGAUAUCACGCAGAACUCCGAUUGCGAAGGCAGCAUACCGGCGCGUAACUGACGCUCAUGCACGAAAGCGUGGGUAUCGAACAGGAUUAGAUACCCGGGUAGUC
rnacentral:rRNA from 1 species